rnacentral:misc_RNA from 1 species
UACGGAGGGUGCAAGCGUUAUCCGGAAUCACUGGGUUUAAAGGGUGCGUAGGCGGAAUAAUAAGUCAGGCGUGAAAGGUCACGGCUCAACUGUGGAAUUGCGUUUGAUACUGUUAUUCUUGAAUUGAGAUGAGGUCAGCGGAAUGCGACAUGUAGCGGUGAAAUGCAUAGAUAUUACAUAGAAUACCGAUUGCGAAGGCCGAUCACUAAUAAUUUACUGACGCUGAGGUGCGAAAGCGUGGGUAGCAAACAGG